rnacentral:rRNA from 1 species
GACGAACGCUGGCGGCGUGCCUAAUACAUGCAAGUCGAGCGAAUUGAUGGGAGCUUGCUCCCGUCAGUUAGCGGCGGACGGGUGAGUAACACGUGGGCAACCUGCCUGUAAGACUGGGAUAACUUCGGGAAACCGGAGCUAAUACCGGAUAAUCCUAUUCCUCUCAUGAGGAAUAGCGUGAAAGACGGCGUAAGCUGUCACUUACAGAUGGGCCCGCGGCGCAUUAGCUAGUUGGUGAGGUAACGGCUCACCAAGGCGACGAUGCGUAGCCGACCUGAGAGGGUGAUCGGCCACACUGGGACUGAGACACGGCCCAGACUCCUACGGGAGGCAGCAGUAGGGAAUCUUCCGCAAUGGACGAAAGUCUGACGGAGCAACGCCGCGUGAGUGAAGAAGGCCUUCGGGUCGUAAAGCUCUGUUGUUAGGGAAGAACAAGUAUCGGAGUAACUGCCGGUACCUUGACGGUACCUAACCAGAAAGCCACGGCUAACUACGUGCCAGCCGCCGCCGUAAAAC